rnacentral:tRNA from 1 species
CAUAGUGUAUCAUAGUGGUAGGGAGCAGGGCUCGUAACUGAAAGGUUGCUGGUUCGAUUCCCCACUGGGG